rnacentral:rRNA from 1 species
GUUGAACGCUGGCGGCGUGCCUAAUACAUGCAAGUCGAGCGAACGGACGAGAAGCUUGCUUCUCUGAUGUUAGCGGCGGACGGGUGAGUAACACGUGGAUAACCUACCUAUAAGACUUGGAUAACUUCGGGAAACCGGAGCUAAUACCGGAUGAUAUUUUGAACCGCAUGGUUCAAAAGUGAAAGACGGUCUUGCUGUCACUUAUAGAUGGAUCCGCGCUGCAUUAGCUAGUUGGUAAGGUAACGGCUUACCAAGGCAACGAUGCAUAGCCGACCUGAGAGGGUGAUCGGCCACACUGGAACUGAGACACGGUCCAGACUCCUACGGGAGGCAGCAGUAGGGAAUCUUCCGCAAUGGGCGAAAGCCUGACGGAGCAACGCCGCGUGAGUGAUGAAGGUCUUCGGAUCGUAAAACUCUGUUAUUAGGGAAGAACAUAUGUGUAAGUAACUGUGCACAUCUUGACGGUACCUAAUCAGAAAGCCACGGCUAACUACGUG